GUCGAACGGAAAGGCCCUUCGGGGUACUCGAGUGGCGAACGGGUGAGUAACACGUGGGUGAUCUGCCCUGCACUUUGGGAUAAGCCUGGGAAACUGGGUCUAAUACCGAAUAGGACCGCAUGCUUCAUGGUGUGUGGUGGAAAGCUUUUGCGGUGUGGGAUGGGCCCGCGGCCUAUCAGCUUGUUGGUGAGGUAAUGGCUUACCAAGGCGACGACGGGUAGCCGGCCUGAGAGGGUGACCGGCCACACUGGGACUGAGAUACGGCCCAGACUCCUACGGGAGGCAGCAGUGGGGAAUAUUGCACAAUGGGCGCAAGCCUGAUGCAGCGACGCCGCGUGAGGGAUGACGGCCUUCGGGUUGUAAACCUCUUUCGCCAGGGACGAAGCGCAAGUGACGGUACCUGGAGAAGAAGGACCGGCCAACUACGUGCCAGCAGCCGCGGUAAUACGUAGGGUCCGAGCGUUGUCCGGAAUUACUGGGCGUAAAGAGCUCGUAGGUGGUUUGUCGCGUUGUUCGUGAAAACUCACAGCUUAACUGUGGGCGUGCGGGCGAUACGGGCAGACUUGAGUACUGCAGGGGAGACUGGAAUUCCUGGUGUAGCGGUGGAAUGCGCAGAUAUCAGGAGGAACACCGGUGGCGAAGGCGGGUCUCUGGGCAGUAACUGACGCUGAGGAGCGAAAGCGUGGGGAGCGAACAGGAUUAGAUACCCUGGUAGUCCACGCCGUAAACGGUGGGUACUAGGUGUGGGUUUCCUUCCUUGGGAUCCGUGCCGUAGCUAACGCAUUAAGUACCCCGCCUGGGGAGUACGGCCGCCAGGCUAAAACUCAA
rnacentral:rRNA from 1 species